GGGUUGUUGGUCAUGGUCUGUAGUUAUACUGGCUGUCUCCCUUGCUUACUUAAAGGUACAAUCCAAUUGAAAAUAAAGAUUUUUGCAGGUUUGCUCAUUACACACAGUGUCGGCAGCUGGUGAGUGUCUUUUGCAAUUCAUCAGAGGCCUCCCGGACCACCUGGUCUCAGCAUCCUGCAAACAGCUGGCUCUGGGACCCCUUAUUCACCGUCCUGCUGAAGGCCAGUUAUCCCUACCCCUUCCAGAAGUUGUUGUGGGAGCUCACGCCAGCAGCUGCUUCCAAGUCCUCAUCUUGGCUCCACCUCAUAAAUACAUUUAAAAAAAAAAAAAAACUUCACAACAACAAGAACACAACAAAAAAAGAAUUUGAAUAGGAAAACGCAAACCAAGCUAUAUCCUCAUCAUCAAACAAGCCAAAUAUCCCAUUCUAUAUGAAAACAGCUCAAUGUAAUAGAAAAGAAAAAAGACUUGUAGUUUUAAAAUAAAUCUGGAUUUAUUUUCA